rnacentral:rRNA from 1 species
UUGUUGGCGACCGGCGCACGGGUGAGUAACGCGUAUCCAACCUGCCCUUUACUAUGGGACAGCCCGUCGAAAGGCGGAUUAAUACCGUAUGUUGUCAUGUUGAUGCAUAUUUUCAUGACCAAAGGCUUCGGCCGGUAAAGGAUGGGGAUGCGUCUGAUUAGCUUGCCGGCGGGGUAACGGCCCACCGGGGCGACGAUCAGUAGGGGUUCUGAGAGGAAGGUCCCCCACAUUGGAACUGAGACACGGUCCAAACUCCUACGGGAGGCAGCAG